CCAUGGUUGCUAAAAAAAAGUCUUCCUGUAUCCCUAACCUUCUGACGCCCAUCGCUUGCCAUGGAUCGCGCCGCCGCCCUGCUCCCCACCGAUGUCGUCGCUCUCCCACCCAUCCACUGCCCCUGCCCACUGCACCUACCCUCUGUUGCAUUCCAUCUCCUCCACCGCCACCGUGAACCAUCUCUCUCCUUAGUCCUCUCUCUUGGACUAGCACGCUGCGGCGGAUGCUUCCGGUCACGUGGAGGCGGCGCGGCAGGUCGAGGGAAUGCGAUUGAGGCGGAUUGUGUCCCGUUCUCGAUCUAUCCUCACCUCCUCUUCCUCCUCUCCCAUCGAAAAUCACACCGCAAUCUAUACCUAUAGGCAAUAACAAUGGUCUCCUGUUGUGCCCCUCCACUCAUCGGACCGCCAAGGCAUGGAAGUACCCGGAGAAGUUGGUGCUCCGUGUAGCAAAUUUGUGCCCCUCCACUCAUCGGACCGCCGAGGCAUGGAACUACCUGGAGAAGAUGGUGCUCCGCGUAGCAAAUUCGGCUGUGUUUUGAGAGGCUGCCAGGCAAGACGCUUUGCCAGAUGUUCAUCAUCAAUGUCGGUCAGGGGUUCAGGCACCUUUGGAACGCAUGGCAUCAGCCAUAUGGACCUGCAUGGAUGUGAUAGUUUACUCAAUCAUUUUUAUGCCUUCAACUACAGCUACCACACAACUUCAUUGAGAUUUGUUUUCUAUAGGACCUGGAUUAAUAAUCUCCAACAAUAUGGAAUAGGCAAGCACAAGAGAAGAUUUGACAGUAGACGCUCAUUGUUUGAGGUGUGUCAGGUCAUUCUUCCAGAAUUGAUAUUAAAUAUCAUGCUUGAACUUAUUUUUGAUGAAAUUUCAAGACUAUGCCUGAAUACAAUAUAGCAAGACCAACUCGGCAACUCGGCCUACUGAAUGUACAUGGGUACCAUUAAUCGCGGACCUUUGCUGAGCAAUUCAAGCCCGAAAGAGAUCACUGCUUCUACACCGUUUCUUUCUCUCCUGGUUAGAAACAACCUCAACAAUCUUGCGUCAUGUCUCUCCCUUCAGCUAUCUCCCACCCCAUGGAAGCUAACCCAUGUCUCUAUCAAAACUAAGUUGGAGCAUUCAUCCGCUGUGCUAAAGGAGCUUAUUGACCCAAAACUGUUUUCCUCAUCUGUAUCAGUGUUUGUGCUCUCCAUGGAUGCAAUCCCGGCUCUUCUCACAUAUAACCUAUGGAUACCUCAUGGAGAUUGGUUGGAGCAUAAUCUUCUUACGUACAAGCUAUGUAUACAUAAUGGACAAUGGUCGGAGUAUAACGAUGCUGAUCAGGCGAGCUUAUAAAUUAACAUGCUGUCUAAGUAGAUGACAGCAGCAUGGAGGAGCCUAAUGUCAGUUGUCAAUGUCGUCGCUGGUCAAGUUACUAAUAAAUUUUUGUAUCGACAAAACAUGUCUAAGACCCUCUAUGGGAGAGUUAACAUCUUCAAUGGCCUGCCCAGUCUUCAGUUAUGGCUGAUGUUGUUGCUUGA